GAAUUCUUUCAUGGCAAAUAGCUCAGGGAAUCCAAAGCAUUCCAGAGAGUUCAUUGGAAUUUGCAAAUGACAAAGCUCUGCUUCUAGCUAAGUCUUUAAGGGGAGCACUGCUUACACUUUUCUAUUUAUCCACAUUCUUGUCUGCUCUCACCAUUAUAGGCCUUGUCUUACUUGGAAGACAACUAAAGUCUGAGGAAAAGUGACCUUGGAGCUGUGUUGCCUCAAUUUUGCUUAAAAGUUGGCUUAGAUUAGAUUCUUCUUAGACAACUACAACCUGCAGCUUUGAUAAUCAAUAAUCAAGAACAGUAUGGAAGUAAGGCUGCUGUCCGUCUGUGACUUCAGAAAGUACAAAAAUUUUGUGAUUAUGAAAAUGUAGUUAUGUCUUUUACUUAGCAGAUCCCAACUUGUUUCAGAUUAAGGCUUAGCUGAGUUGAGCUCAGCUGUCAUCUGGUUCUCUCUUUUGGUUCUUUGGAACAAGAGAAGAUUGAUAAUUCAUCU